UGGAUCGAUGAUGGUGACUGUGGCAUAUGAGGCAUGGACAGCAAAUAAUAUGUGUCUGGAACUCUGAGGUCCAA